GCGGGUAUAGUAUAAAGGUAUUACAUUAACCUUCCAAGUUAAUUAUAUGGGUUCAAUUCCCAUUAUCCGCU
rnacentral:tRNA from 1 species